rnacentral:rRNA from 1 species
UGGGGAAUAUUGCACAAUGGGGGAAACCCUGAUGCAGCCAUGCCGCGUGUGUGAAGAAGGCCUUCGGGUUGUAAAGCACUUUCAGUUGUGAGGCGUUAACAACAGAAGAAGCACCGGCUAACUCCGUGCCAGCAGCCGCGGUAAUACGGAGGGUGCGAGCGUUAAUCGGAAUUACUGGGCGUAAAGCGCACGCAGGCGGUUUGUUAAGCUAGAUGUGAAAGCCCCGGGCUCAACCUGGGAUGGUCAUUUAGAACUGGCAGACUAGAGUCUUGGAGAGGGGAGUGGAAUUCCAGGUGUAGCGGUGAAAUGCGUAGAUAUCUGGAGGAACAUCAGUGGCGAAGGCGACUCCCUGGCCAAAGACUGACGCUCAUGUGCGAAAGUGUGGGUAGCGAACAGGAUUAGAUACCCCAGUAGU